rnacentral:lncRNA from 1 species
CGCGGGCUGACCCUCCGGACCUGGCAAGGCGUGCGACUAGGCGGGGCACCGAAGGCGCAGGCCUUUGGGGAAGCAUGGGGCGCGGGAGCCUGGGAGACGAGGCUGCGGGAUCACGCACCCGGACCGCAGCUCCGCGCCUGCCGAGUGUGACCCCGAGCUCCGAAGAAUCCAGGCCUUUUAGACCCCGUGCAGGCUGUGGGCCUGGUUGAGAACCAGUAAAAAGCUGCUCUCCCUGAAGCUGAAUUUGACUUGCCAUUUGUGAACUCAAAAAAAAUGGGACAGUGAAAAAUGCCCUCGGCAUAUCUUAAAGACCUUCUCCUGAGAUUAUCUGCUAUGAGAUCUAACCGUUCUGGGCAGGAAGAGGAAACACUGACAUUUUCUUUUGUUAACUAAGGGUCACUCCCUUCCUCCCCUCUCUCCACGAGGGAAACCUUAAAGGCACAGAGAACAGUUUGAUCAUGAACUACUGCUAAAUGUUUUCACUUCUCGGGUCACUGUUGCUGUGAUGAAAGGCCAUGACCAGAAGCAGCUUGGGGAAGGAAAAGCUUUAUUUCACUUACAGUUCCAUACAACAAUUCAUCAUCAAAUGCACUGAGGGCAGGAACCCAAGCGGGGCAGGAACCUGGAAGAAAGGAGUUGAAGCAGAGGCCAUGGAGGAGUGCUGUUUAUUGGCUUGCUUCACAGGACUUGCUCAGCUUGCUUUCUUAUAGACCACGGGUGGCCUAAUCCACAAUGAGCUGUGCCCUCCCACGUCCAUCAUUAAUUAAGAAAAUGCUUUAUAGACCUGCCUACAGCCUGAUCUUAUGGUGGCAUUUUCUUAACUGAAGUUUCCUUCUCUCAAAUGAAUCUAGCUUGUGUCAAGUUGACACAAACUAACCAGCACAUAACCCCAACCUGAUAUAAAAUGAUGCCCUAUUUGUUAAGUAUUGGCAGCCUGGAUGCUGGGAAGUAGGGGGCAAGUCUUGCUCAUGGACUUAAAUCUCUGUGACAGGAUUACUUUCCCCCUCUUUGUAGGGGGGGGACUGCAGUCAGAUUCUAAAUAAUUUGUUUUAGCAGAUGGUACAUGUAUUCAAUGCCAGUUCUAUGCUUGGUCACAUGGAG